CGGUCACAUCACGUUCAAACACCGCUUCCCGUAAGAUCACCAACGUUAAGCAACGUCGAGCCUAGUCACUACCUAGAUGGGUAACCGCUUGGGAAUCCAGGUGCUGUAA